AUUGAACGCUGGCGGCAGGCUUAACACAUGCAAGUCGAGCGGGGUGAUGGUGCUUGCACUAUCACUUAGCGGCGGACGGGUGAGUAAUGCUUAGGAAUCUGCCUAUUAGUGGGGGACAACAUCUCGAAAGGGAUGCUAAUACCGCAUACGUCCUACGGGAGAAAGCAGGGGAUCACUUGUGACCUUGCGCUAAUAGAUGAGCCUAAGUCGGAUUAGCUAGUUGGUGGGGUAAAGGCCUACCAAGGCGACGAUCUGUAGCGGGUCUGAGAGGAUGUACCGCCACACUGGGACGGAGACACGGCCCCGACUCCUACGGGAGGCAGCAGUGGGGAAUAUUGGACAAUGGGGGGAACCCUGAUCCAGCCAUGCCGCGUGUGUGAAGAAGGCCUUAUGGUUGUAAAGCACUUUAAGCGAGGAGGAGGCUCUUUUGGUUAAUACCCAAGAUGAGUGGACGUUACUCGCAGAAUAAGCACCGGCUAACUCUGUGCCAGCCGCCGCAGUAA
rnacentral:rRNA from 1 species